rnacentral:rRNA from 1 species
CAGUCGCCGCGGUAAUACGGAGGGUGCAAGCGUUAAUCGGAAUUACUGGGCGUAAAGCGCACGCAGGCGGUCUGUCAAGUCAGAUGUGAAAUCCCCGGGCUUAACCUGGGAACUGCAUUUGAAACUGGCAGGCUAGAGUCUUGUAGAGGGGGGUAGAAUUCCAGGUGUAGCGGUGAAAUGCGUAGAGAUCUGGAGGAAUACCGGUGGCGAAGGCGGCCCCCUGGACAAAGACUGACGCUCAGGUGCGAAAGCGUGGGGAGCAAACAGGAUUAGAUACCCGUGUAGUCCCUGUCUCUUAUCC